AUUGCCUCAGUAACGGCGAGUGAAGCGGCAAAAGCUCAGAUUUGAAAUCUGGCGUCAUAUUGGCGUCCGAGUUGUAAUCUGUAGAGGAGUAUUCGAGUGUGGCGCUGGCUUAAGUUCCUUGGAACAGGACGUCAUAGAGGGUGAGAACCCCGUUAACGGCCUUUGUCUUAUGCUCAUGUGAAUCUCCUUCAACGAGUCGAGUUGUUUGGGAAUGCAGCUCUAAAUGGGUGGUAAAUUCCAUCUAAAGCUAAAUACUGGCAAGAGACCGAUAGCGCACAAGUAGAGUGAUCGAAAGAUGAAAAGAACUCUGAACAGAGAGUUAAAUAGUACGUGAAAUUGUUGAAAGGGAAGCACUUGCUACCAGACACGCCUGUAGUUGAUCAACCUUCAUUCUUGAUGGUGCACUCAGCUAUAGGUGGGUCAGCAUCAGUUAUGGCGGUGGGAUAAAGACUUGGGGAAUGUGGCUUCUCUCGGGAAGUGUUAUAGCCCUGGGUGUAAUACCAUCUGCUGUGACUGAGGACCGCGCUUCGGCGAGGAUGCUGGCAUAAUGGUCGUAAGUGACCCGUCUUGAAACACGGACCAAGGAGUCUAACAUCUAUGCGAGUGUUUGGGUGUCAAAACCCUUACGCGGAAUGAAAGUGAAUGUAGGUGGGAACCGCAAGGUGCACCAUCGACCGAUCCUGAUGUCUUCGGAUGGAUUUGAGUAGGAGCAUAGCUGUUGGGACCCGAAAGAUGGUGAACUAUGCCUGAAUAGGGUGAAGCCAGAGGAAACUCUGGUGGAGGCUCGCAGCGGUUCUG
rnacentral:rRNA from 1 species